CACAUAUGAGCUGCUAACUCAUCCAUCUCCCUUUAUAAAGCUACGAGUCUCUCCUCUCUCUAAUAUGAGGGUUUUUGUUGUUGGUGAAGAAGGAGGCGUUUAUACAGGUAUCAAUGUGCAGCAUGUGAGACGUUUCAGGAACAGAUUUG